GGACAAGGGGGCGGUAGUAAGCGAGUCCGACGUGUGUACGAAUCAACAUUGAACUUACUUUUUGUAUGUCGGCCACACGGCGCCGCGAGUUGAUUUGUAUGCGACGAUUCAUUUGGGGAAGACAGCAACAGCGCAUAGUACUACAGGAUGUCGCGGAUCAUUUCAACGUUUUGCACCGGGAAGCACGACUAGCACAGUAACACCGCAACGCGAUUCAUAUUUAAAAUGUAUAAUGCGAAAGGUUAGAAGAGCUCGAAUUCAAACAAAAUGGAAACAAUUUAGAAUCGCUGCGGCAUUCAAUGUAGCCAGAAGGACUACUAGGGUAGAACAUAGCUGGAUAGAGAGCUAGUUAUUAACUAAUAUACAUGCGAAGUUACAUAUCAGAAAAGCUCAAACAGAGCCUAUAGUAAGUUGGUUGAAACUAUUAGUUCGUUGGUGUCCCCAGUCACCAAAGAAGACUGAAGAAAAUACUGAAAUAUGCUACGGAGAAGACUGAACCGUUUGUUUGGUAGGGAUGAGAGGAAGGUAGACAGCAGGACCAUCUACGUAGGCCACCGGCCCUGUCCCGCCACCGAAGCUUUAAUCCCCCCCAAGUUCUGUGACAACAGGAUUGUCUCUUCCAAGUACACGGUGUGGAACUUUCUGCCAAAGAAUCUGUUUGAGCAGUUCAGAAGAAUUGCCAAUUUCUACUUCCUCAUCAUCUUUUUGGUGCAGGUGAUCGUAGACACCCCCACCAGCCCAGUCACUAGUGGCCUGCCUCUGUUCUUUGUCAUCACUGUCACAGCCAUCAAACAGGGCUAUGAGGACUGGCUGCGGCACAAGGCAGAUAAUGAGGUGAAUAAGUACCUGGUGACAGUGCUGGAGGACGGCCGGAGAGCAUGCAAGGAGAGCGAGAAGAUCAAGGUUGGGGAUGUGGUGGAGGUGGUUGAGGAUGAGACCUUUCCCUGUGACCUCAUCCUGCUGCAGUCCAGCCGGGAGGACGAGACCUGCUUUGUCACCACGGCCAGUCUGGACGGGGAGUCCAACCAUAAGACACACUACAUAGUGCCAGACACGGAGAGGAACCUGGAGUCUCUAAGCGCCACCAUCGAGUGCGAGCAGCCGCAGCCUGACCUCUACAAAUUUGUGGGGCGUAUGCACAUCCACAGGAACAACCAGGAACCCGCUGUGAGGUCUUUGGGUCCAGAGAAUCUCCUCCUGAAAGGUGCUACCUUGAAGAACACUCAGAAAAUAUAUGGCGUGGCAGUUUACUCAGGCAUGGAGACCAAGAUGGCUCUGAACUACCAGGGGAAGUCCCAGAAGCGCUCUGCGGUGGAGAAGUCUAUCAAUGCCUUCCUGCUGGUGUACCUGUGCAUCCUGGUGAGCAAGGCCCUGGUGUGCACCACGCUCAAGUAUGUGUGGCAGAACCGACCAGGCCAGGACGAGCCCUGGUACAACCAGAAGACGCAAAAGGAGAAAGAUACCAACCUGUACCUGAAGAUGUUUACUGACUUCCUGUCGUUCAUGGUUCUGUUCAACUUCAUCAUCCCCGUGUCCAUGUACGUGACGGUGGAGAUGCAGAAGUUCCUGGGCUCCUUCUUCAUCUCCUGGGACAAGGACUUCUUUGACCCCGAGAUCCAGGAAGGGGCUCUGGUCAACACAUCCGACCUCAAUGAGGAGCUGGGACAGGUGGAGUACGUGUUCACGGACAAGACUGGCACGCUGACCCAGAACAACAUGGAGUUCAUCGAGUGCUGCAUCGACGGCUUCCAGUACAAGUACGCCGACUCGGGCACCGAGCUGGACGGCUUCUGUGUCACAGAUGGACCCGUGAACAUUCUGCAGCAGAAGGCUGGCAGGGAGAAGGAGGAGCUGUUCCUGCGGGCUCUGUGUCUGUGCCACACGGUGCAGGUGAAGGAGGCUACGGGUCAGGGGGAUGGAGUAGCGGACCAGGUGGACGGAGAGACGGUCGGGCCUGUGGACCUCGGGGGCUUCAUUGCCUCCUCACCCGACGAGGUGGCACUGGUCAAGGGAGCCAUGAAGUACGGUUUCAAAUUCCUUGGUAUGGAGAGCAAGAACAUGAGAGUGAUGAACAGAAACAACGAUGUUGAAACGUACGAACUGCUUCACGUGUUGAACUUUGACCCGGUGCGAAGGCGUAUGAGUGUGAUAGUCCGAACCAAAUCAGGGGACACCAUGCUGUUCUGUAAGGGGGCCGACUCCUCUAUCUUCCCCCGUGUCAGGCAGGAGGAGGUGGACAGGAUACGCAUGCACGUGGAACGCAACGCUACGGAGGGCUACCGGACGCUGUGUGUGGCCUACAAGCUGCUGAGCAGGGAGGAGUAUGACCAGGCAGACACGGGGCUGAGGGAAGCCAAGCUGGCCCUGCAGGACCGAGAGGAGAAACUCAUGGCUGUGUACAACCAGGUGGAGACCGGGAUGAGCCUGAUCGGAGCUACCGCUGUGGAGGACAGGUUGCAGGAGGAGGCAGCCGAGACCAUGGAGGCCCUGCAGGGAGCAGGCAUGAAGGUGUGGGUGCUGACGGGGGACAAGAUGGAGACGGCCAAGUCCACGUGCUACGCCUGCCGGUUGUUCCAGAGGGGCACAGAGCUGCUGGAGCUGACGGUGCGAACCCUGGUGGACCUGGGGAGGAAGAGAGAGGAGCGCCUGCACGAGCUGCUGCUGGACUACCACAAGAGGGCAGUACAGGACGCCCCACCGAUCAAGGCUGGGGUCACCAGGAGCUGGUCUUCAGCGAACCAGGACUACGGCUUCAUCAUAGACGGAGCCACUCUGUCCUUGGUGCUUAACUCCUCUCCUGACUCCAACUCCAGCUGCUACAAGAGUCUCUUCCUCCAGAUCUGUCAGAACUGUACCACUGUGCUGUGCUGCCGCAUGGCUCCCCUACAGAAGGCCCAGAUAGUAAAGAUGGUGAAGAACUGUAAAGGCAGCCCCAUCACCCUCUCCAUCGGAGAUGGGGCCAACGAUGUCAGUAUGAUCCUGGAGGCACAUGUUGGCAUCGGUAUAAAGGGUAGGGAGGGUCGCCAGGCAGUGAGGAACAGUGACUAUGCCAUCCCUAAGCUCAAGCACCUGAAGAAACUGUUACUGGGACACGGGCACCUCUACUACGUUCGUAUUGCCCACCUGGUGCAAUACUUCUUCUACAAGAACCUCUGCUUCAUCUUACCUCAGUUCUUGUACCAGUUUUUCUGUGGAUACUCCCAGCAACCUCUCUACGACGCAGCCUAUCUGACGAUGUACAACAUCUGUUUCACCUCAAUGCCUAUCCUGGCCAACAGCCUCUUGGAGCAGCACAUCUGUAUGGAGUUCCUGAUGGACAACGCCGCCCUCUACAGGGACGUAGCAAAGAAUGCCAUGUUGGGUUGGGGGCCCUUCCUGUACUGGACACUACUGGGGGUCUACCAGGGCCUCUUAUUCUUCUUCGGGGUCCGCUUUCUCUUUAGUAACCCCGCCCUGCAGGAUAAUGGCCAGGUGUUUGGGAAUUGGUCGUUCGGAACGAUUGUUUUUACUGUCCUCGUUUUCACUGUGACGCUGAAGCUGGCUAUGGACACUCGCCAUUGGACGUGGAUCAAUCACUUUGUCAUCUGGGGCUCGCUGGCCUUCUACACGUUCUUCAGCUUCUUCUGGGGUGGGAUCAUAUGGCCUUUCCUUCGGCAGCAGCGUCUCUACUUUGUGUUUGCUAAUAUGCUGAGCUCUGUGUCAGCCUGGCUGAUCAUCAUCCUGCUCAUCCUGCUCAGCCUGUUGCCUGAGAUCCUGCUGCUGGUCCUCCAAAAGCCCCGCGGACCCCACUCACGACAGAAGAAGCCGGUGGUUCAGUCUGGCGAGGGGGAAACCCAGUCUCCCCGGUCUUCAGCCAGGCCCCUGCUCAUGAAAACCUUUUCAGACGAGUCCAAUACUAUCCUUUGAACAGCCUCCCAGUAGACGACCGGCUCAUUGUGGCCUUGCAUGUGGUCUUUAAGAAUUUCCAGUUACCUUGUUGACUAAGUAUGGACUCCGUUGAGGAUCGGGGAUUCAUCUGUCUCAUCAGUGUGUGAAUGUGAGUGUCUGUUUUUUUCUUUUUCCUCUUUAUUCCUAAUGAAAUAUUGCAGACCUCGUAAUCUGCCCUUUUCAUUUCUCCCCUUGUGGAGUUGUCAUUUAUAUGGUGGUUGUGGUGUCCCUCCUGGUUGCAUGUCAAUGUACUACUUGUGUGUUACUGGCGUCUUGUAUUUUCCAUUUGCAAGUACUACAUUUUGUUACCCCUUUCCUUUGCCUGAUUGUAUGUUGCUCUUCCUACAUCAAAAUGAACUGACCGUUGCCUGGAGAGAAUGUGUCAAAUCAAAUAAAAUUGUAUUGGUCCAAUAUUUUUGCUGUGUGACCUGCCGUUUUAAUUUGGGAGCACCAGUGCGACUACAAACAUAUAUGCCAGAUUAUAAUUGUUUUCAUGAUUAAGGGAAAGGGGAUACCUAGUCAGUUGCACGGCUGAAUGCAUUCAACCCAAGACCUCUGAAUCAGAGAGGUGCGGGGGGGCUGCCUUAAUCGACGUCCACGUCAUUGGCGCCGGGGAGCAGUUCUUGUGGGGGGGUUAACUGCCUUUCUCAAGGGCAGAACGAUUUUACAGCUCAAACGGUGAGACGACCUGCCACCCCUUCGCUGUUUCCGAGUACCCUAGAUAAGAAAGUGAGUGCAGAUUCCUGACCGUGGUGGUUGCACCAUUACUACAGAGAGAACCGCCCGUCUCUAGCCAGAACCUUUGGACAGUUGUGACCAUGUUACCGGCGCUAUGGUUUUGCUGGGAUGCAUCUCCAUUGGUGGAGAUAAUAAACAAAUGUCUUAACAGUGUUAGAUAUUACUUUCUAGGGUACAAAAUGUGCUUCAAAAGUACAUAGAAUUCAUAUAGGCCCCAUAGUGUAUAUCUCAAUCGAUUUUUAAAAUGACAUUUCCUGGUGCUCCUAAAUUUUCUGUGGUGCUCCUAACUUUAAAAUAACUUGGGUGCAACAGUGCUACCAAUGUAAAAUGCUAAUUGGGAGCCCUGGUUCUGUUUAUUGGCAAGUCUGGGUUAACACCAGGCUUUACGCUCACAUCCAUCACCUGUAUUUAACCUGCUUCUCUAUUCUUCCCAGCCUUCAGAGGACUCCCUCCUAAAAACAUCCAGAUCGCUGCUGUCACGCCCUUGUCCUACAAGCACCUGAUCGGGCAGGAGUGAAGGGCAGAAAGGAGGGUCAACUAUACUACGGCCAAUGUCUUUCAGGCCCCAAUGACAGUCAAGCUGGCUGCCAGCACUUUUGCCUGAUCUAAAAAGAAAAUGGAAAUUGACAAAAAGAAAAUAGAAAAGAUGCUAGAAGAGCCAGGGAUGGACUCCUGUCACCCUCUUCCUGUUUCCCUCUGCAUGUCUGCAGAGUACUGCACCACUGGCCCACGCAGCAUAGGCCGUUUUUACAACGGCUUUACUGCACUAUUCAGACAGGAGGCAUGAGUUUCCGCAGUUUCUUUUUCUUUCUUAAAAAAAUCGAAAUGAAUGCGUACACUGCUACCUUGUCAGUAGUACUACUAUGAUCUGCUGUGUUCUAACAUGCAGCCACACCUCCACGGACCCAGAAUGAUUCAUCUGCAUGAAACCAAGGAGGCUCCAUGAAUGCCACAUUCCACUUGUUAUUACUUGUGUGUUUAGGUCAAGGUUUGUUAAAACAAAAAUGUUACUUAACUUUCUGAAACAGAUUCCACAGUUCCAGGCCCAAAUAGUUUGUACAGUACCAGUCAAACCUUCUCAUUCAAGGGUUUUUCUUUACUUUUGACUAUUUUCUACGUUGUAGAAUAAUUGUGAAGACUUCAUAAUUAUGAAAUAACACACAUGGAAUCAUGUAGUAACCA